GCCUGGCUGGCUCAGUUGGUAGAGCAUGUGACUUUCAGUCUCAGGGUCGUGAGUUCAAGUCCCACGUUGGGCA
rnacentral:tRNA from 1 species